GAUCAUGGCUCAGGAUGAACGCUAGCUACAGGCUUAACACAUGCAAGUCGGGGGGAAACGACAUCGAAAGCUUGCUUUUGAUGGGCGUCGACCGGCGCACGGGUGAGUAACGCGUAUCCAACCUGCCCAUCACUUGGGAAUAACCUUGCGAAAGUAAGACUAAUACCCAAUGAUAUCUCUAGAAGACAUCUGAAAGAGAUUAAAGAUUUAUCGGUGAUGGAUGGGGAUGCGU
rnacentral:rRNA from 1 species